AAUUAAAAAUAGGGGAGCUAUUUUGCUGAGAGGAGAUAAGAUCUCGACCCUUAACCUGAUUUGGAUAAUGCCAACGUAGGGAAGAUAUUGUAAUUAAAAUA
rfam:Paeniclostridium sordellii ATCC 9714 gcs9714.contig.17, whole genome shotgun sequence.